UACGUAGGCAGCGAGCGUUGUUCGGAAUUACUGGGCGUAAAGAGUGUGUAGGCGGUGCUCCCAGUCUGUUGUGAAAUCUCCCGGCUUAACUGGGAGGGUGCAGCGGAAACUAGAGUGCUAGAGGGUGGGAGAGGUAAGCGGAAUUCCUGGUGUAGCGGUGAAAUGCGUAGAUAUCAGGAGGAACACCUGUGGUGUAGACAGCUUACUGGACCACUUCUGACGCUGAGACACGAAAAGCGUGGGUAGCAAAACAGG
rnacentral:rRNA from 1 species